rnacentral:rRNA from 1 species
AACGAACGCUGGCGGCAGGCUUAACACAUGCAAGUCGAACGCAUCCUUCGGGGUGAGUGGCAGACGGGUGAGUAACGCGUGGGAACGUGCCCUUCAGUUCGGGAUAACCCAGGGAAACUUGGGCUAAUACCGGAUACGUGCGAGAGCAGAAAGAUUUAUCGCUGAAGGAUCGGCCCGCGUCUGAUUAGCUAGUUGGUGGGGUAAUGGCCCACCAAGGCGACGAUCAGUAGCUGGUCUGAGAGGAUGAUCAGCCACAUUGGGACUGAGACACGGACCGAACUCCGGGGGGAGGCAGCAGUGGGGAGUAUUGGACAAUGGGCGCAAGCCUGAUCCAGCCAGGCCGCGUGAGUGAUGAAGGUCUUAGGGUUGUAAAGCGCUUUCGGCCGGGACGAUAAUGACGGUACCGGAAGAAGAAGCCCCGGCUAACUUCGUGCCAGCCGCCGCCGUAA